UGCCUGAGGCUCUGCCCACAGU
rnacentral:piRNA from 1 species